UUGAGUGCCACUGUGUCCCUGAGGUCACUCUUUCUCCUGCUGGGAGAGCACGAGGUGGAUGGAGAGGAUCCCCAGGCAUCUGCAGGCACAAGGGACUCGUACAGCUGUGAUUUUCCUACAGCCCUUGUGAGAUGGACUUUCAGGGUACCAUGGGAGAAAAUCUGGGCAGCGGAAGGAAGCAAAGAAGCCCCGUGACUCCUCCCUGAGCCCCAGACAGCCCAGGAACUGCCUUCCUGGGAAUGGUGGGACGGGCUGGACUCUGGAUUGCUCCCUCUGGAUGUGUGUGGGAUGUAGCCUGGAAACUCUGCAGAGCUGAGCCAAGGGAUUGAAAGGGACCAAGCAAGGGAGGUGAAGAAUGAAGGAAGAAAGGAACUGAGGCAUCAGCCAAGCAGCACCAAGUUCCUGUGUAAGCAGGUAGUGCCCUGAAUUAGUUGAUUUCUGCCUGGCUCCCUGAUGUCUGAGUUUUGAGAUGUACCAAGAACUGGUAGUUUUUGCAGUGGGAUGUACCCUGGAAACUGCCUGGAGCAGAGCCAAGGAACUUAAAGGGACUAAGCAAGCAAAGUAAAGAAAGAAUGAAGAAGGGAUCUGAGGCAGCAACCAAACAGCACCAAAUUCCUCUACAACCAGGGAAUAACUCCUGUCAGCAGCAAGAUCCCGACUGAAGUGGCAGCUGCAGUUGUUCCUGUGGUGUGGGCCAGUGGAAUUGCAGGAGAGUGGAAGAGAGCAGAACCUGAGAAAAUCCAGAAACUUGUAAGGAAGCAAAGAAGCCCCGUGACUCCUCCCUGAGCCCCAGACAGCCCAUGAACUGCCUCCCUGGGAAUGGUGGGACGGGCUGGACUCUGGAUUGCUCCCUCUGGAUGUGUGGUAAGACUGUUAUGCCAACUUUUCCAAGAGCCUGUAAGAAUUUGCUGCCUUGGCUAGAUGGUGCAAGGACAGCCUUUAAGCAGCUGAAGCCUUCCCUGAGGAGAGCUCUGGGUCUGCCAGAUGUGUCAGAACUGUUGGAAGCAUCUUUGGUGGGGAGGGCAAACAAAGGCCAAGGUGUGCACUGACCCCCCUGACAAGGGACUUCCAGGUAAUGGCAUCCCUGCAAGUGAACUUUGUGGGCUGUUCCCCCUGUAGGGCAGGUGAUAGUCCCAGCUACAGUGAUGGGAAAAAUGGUUAAAAGAGAGCCGCAAAAGCUGGAAAUCCUCCUGGAGGGUCUUGGCAAAGAGAGUUUCCUGAGUUAGCUCUGACA